rnacentral:misc_RNA from 1 species
GAUAUGCAAUAAUUAAUGUGAAUUGCAGAAUUCAGUGAAUCAUCGAGUCUUUGAACGCACAUUGCGCCCCCUGGUAUUCCGGGGGGCAUGCCUGUCCGAGCGUCAUUGCUGCCCUCAAGCACGGCUUGUGUGUUGGGCUUCCGUCCCUGGCAACGGGGACGGGCCCAAAAGGCAGUGGCGGCACCAUGUCUGGUCCUCGAGCGUAUGGGGCUUUGUCACCCGCUCCCGUAGGUCCAGCUGGCAGCUAGCCUCGCAACCAAUCUUUUUAACCAGGUUGACCUCGGAUCAGGUAGGGAUACCCGCUGAACUUAAGC